AGAGUUUGAUCCUGGCUCAGGAUGAACGCUAGCGACAGGCCUAACACAUGCAAGUCGAGGGGCAUCGGGACGUAGCAAUACGUUGCCGGCGACCGGCGGAUGGGUGAGUAACGCGUAUGCAACCUACCCGUAGCAGGGGGAUAGCCCGUUGAAAGACGGAUUAAUACCCCGUAACACAGGGGCUCCGCAUGGAGAUUAUUGUUAAAGGGUCAUUUCUUUUAGAGGUGGUCCGGCUACGGAUGGGCAUGCGUUCCAUUAGGUAGUUGGUGUAGGUAACGGCUCACCAAGCCGACGAUGGAUAGGGGAACUGAGAGGUUGGUCCCCCACACUGGUACUGAGACACGGACCAGACUCCUACGGGAGGCAGCAGUGAGGAAUCUUGGUCAAUGGACGCAAGUCUGAACCAGCCAUGUCGCGUGAAGGAGGACGGCCCUAAGGGUUGUAAACUUCUUUUGCAGCGGAAUAAAGUUUGCCACGAGUUGGCGAUUUGCAAGUACGCUGCGAAUAAGGAUCGGCUAACUCCGUGCCAGCAGCCGCGGUAAUACGGAGGAUCCAGGCGUUAUCCGGAUUUAUUGGGUUUAAAGGGUGCGCAGGCGGGGAAUUAGGUCGGCGGUGAAAUUUCGGGGCUCAACCUCGACAGUGCCGUUGAAACCGUUUCUCUUGAGUGCGGAUGAGGUAGGCGGAAUUUGUGGUGUAGCGGUGAAAUGCGUAGAUAUCACAAGGAACACCGAUUGCGGAGGCAGCUUACUAAACCGUUACUGACGCUCAUGCACGAAGGCGUGGGGAUCAAACAGGAUUAGAUACCCUGGUAGUCCACGCAGUAAACGAUGAUUACUUGCUGUUUGCGAUACACAGUAAGCGGCGAAGCGAAAGCGUUAAGUAAUCCACCUGGGGAGUACGUUCGCAAGAAUGAAACUCAAAUGAAUUGACGG
rnacentral:rRNA from 1 species